rnacentral:rRNA from 1 species
AGAGUUUGAUCCUGGCUCAGGACGAACGCUGGCGGCGUGCUUAACACAUGCAAGUCGAACGGAAAGGCCCUGCUUUUGUGGGGUGCUCGAGUGGCGAACGGGUGAGUAACACGUGAGUAACCUGCCCUUGACUUUGGGAUAACUUCAGGAAACUGGGGCUAAUACCGGAUAGGAGCUCCUGCUGCAUGGUGGGGGUUGGAAAGUUUCGGCGGUUGGGGAUGGACUCGCGGCUUAUCAGCUUGUUGGUGGGGUAGUGGCUUACCAAGGCUUUGACGGGUAGCCGGCCUGAGAGGGUGACCGGCCACAUUGGGACUGAGAUACGGCCCAGACUCCUACGGGAGGCAGCAGUGGGGAAUAUUGCACAAUGGGCGGAAGCCUGAUGCAGCAACGCCGCGUGCGGGAUGACGGCCUUCGGGUUGCAAACCGCUUUCGCCUGUGACGAAGCGUGAGUGACGGUAAUGGGUAAAGAAGCACCGGCUAACUACGUG